UGGGAGGAAGGAACUAACAGGGAUGCCUUAGUAACUGCGAGUGAAGCGGCAAAAGCUCAAAUUUAAAAUCUGACGUUUUUAACGUUCCAGUUGUAAUUUGGAGGGAUAUUUUCGGAGCAGGGGCUGUCCUAAGUUCUUUGGAACUAGACAUCAUAGAGGGUGAGAAUCCCGUGCCUGGAUGGCUGUCCUGCUCCAUGUGAAGUGUCUCCGACGAGUCGAGUUGUUUGGGAAUGCAGCUCAAAAUGGGUGGUAAAUUUCAUCUAAAGCUAAAUAUUGGCGAGAGACCGAUAGCGCACAAGUAGAGUGAUCGAAAGAUGAAAAGCACUUUGAAAAGAGAGUUAAACAGUACGUGAAAUUGUUGAAAGGGAAGCGCUUGAGACUCAAUUCGACCGAUGGCGAAAUCAUUCGUACUUCUGUGCGGUGUACUAAUCGUGGGGCGAGCCAGCAUCGGUUCUGAUGGUGGGAUAAAGGUUUGAGGAAUGUGGCUCCAUGAUUUUGUGGAGUGUUAUAGCCUUGAGCGUAAUGCCACCUGUUGGGACCGAGGAACGCGCUUCGGCUCAAGGAUGCUGGCUAAAAGGUCUUAAGCGGCCCGUCUUGAAACACGGACCAAGGAGUCUAACAUCUAUGCGAGUGUUCGGGUGAAAAACCCUUGCGCGUAAUGAAAGUGAAAGGAGGUGGGAAGCCAUUGGAAUGCACCAUCGACCGAUCCUGAUGUUUUCAGAAGGAUUUGAGUAGGAGCAUAGCUGUUGGGACCCGAAAGAUGGUGAACUAUGCCUGAAUAGGGUGAAGCCAGAGGAAACUCUGGUGGAGGCUCGCAGCGGUUCUGACGUGCAAAUCGAUCGUCAAAUUUGGGUAUAGGGGCGAAAGACUAAUCGAUCCAUCCUAGACCCU
rnacentral:rRNA from 1 species